rnacentral:rRNA from 1 species
UACGUAGGGUGCAAGCGUUGUCCGGAAUUAUUGGGCGUAAAGAGCGUGUAGGCGGCCCGACCAGUCCGCUGUGAAAGUCCAGGGCUCAACCCUGGAAUGCCGGUGGAUACUGUCGGGCUAGAGUCCGGAAGGGGCGAGUGGAAUUCCUGGUGUAGCGGUGAAGUGCGCAGAUAUCAGGAGGAACACCAAUGGCGAAGGCAGCUCGCUGGGACGUGACUGACGCUGAGACGCGAAAGCGUGGGGAGCAAACAGG